GUGUGGUGAUCCUGGCACACGCAGGGUAAGGUGCCGCCCAGGAAGAAAGGCUGUGUGGUCCAUCAGUUGAAGCCCCCAAGGUGGCUCCAGCCUAGUUUCAUUUCCUCCAACUCGCUCCAUGAUCUUGGGCCAAAUCCCUUUUACCUGUCUGCACCUCCAUCUCCCCGUCUGUAAAAGGAGAUGAUUCUUCUACCAUCCCGAGGGUUGCUGUGAAGAUAAAACAAACACGCGCUCAGGCAGUGGAGCCCCGAUUGAUGGUGGUGGUGCCUCUCAUCCCCGGUUCCCCCACCUGCCCGUCAUCCAUGUCAGCAACCUCAGGCUCUGCUCUGGGGGACAGAGGCGGACGCAGUCCAUUUUCCCCCGGGAGCCACCACCUUGAACUCCUGUUCCCUGGAGCAAUGACUAACCCCGAGGGACUGAAGCCGAACUCCGGGUCCCCAUCAACACCACCCCGGGGCCCGGGCAGCUCCUGUGUCCCAGUCCUGCAGCCGGCCCUGCCGGCUCCUGCCAUUUGGCCGCAGCUCCUGAACUCGUGAGAGUGUGGUGUUUUGGUUUUGCAGCGAGAAGGAAAAAAUUAAAGGCCGGGUGUGGGGACAGGAGAGGAAGAAGGAGGAGGAGGGAGAAACCCUUGAGCGGCCUGGGCCGGCCAGUUCCAGGAAUGCGUUCUCGGACAUCAGUGCCAAAGCAGUGACCCAGGCGGGGCGGCCAGGCCGGGAGAAGGGAGAGGCCGGCUCCAGGGCGAGAGCUUGCCUCUUCCCCACCCCCCUAACCCUCCCACCCUGGCUGCCUCUGCUGACUCAUCGCCGCUCCAGCUGGCAGGAGCCUUUUCUGGGGAUGGCUGUUGCUAAGAUUCCUCGGACAUGACUGAUUACUUCUCCUCGAGCCUGGUGAAAACAUGUUUGUAGAUUGCACGCAAACACACGCACCCGCUCCUGCGGAUACCUGCCCACGUGGGUUUUGUGCCCAAGUGUGUGUCUUCUUCACCCAGGUCACCAGACAUGCCUCCUGUUGUUCCCCAAGAUUCCCUGACACUUAGCUUAGCUGCUAAGCCCUAGGGUCCUGAAGAAGGGCGCAGACACGCCAGGUUUCCCCCACCCCGGCCAGUAAUUCAGGCAGUGGGGCGGCCGCCAGUGUCUGGGCCUGCUUUAAUCUGAAGGAGUUUUCAGGUUGCCUUGAACACAUUCUUGGCCUCUGUCCCUCCUCCCCUCCCUGGGUUGCUCGGUGGCCUUCAUUCUGCUGUAAUGAUCUAAUCUUCCCUUCUCCCUCUGCCUGCCAGUUUUUUUGAUGUUUGCUGUUCCAGGCACUCAGCUGGGAGCUGGAAUGUUCUAGAGCUGGAUUCCUGGCCUGGACCUGACGCCCCAGGGGGCUCCUGGCGGUGGGGGAGUGGGGAGAGCUGCCCAGUGGCUCUGUUGCCCUGGAGAGGGGGUACCGCAGUGAGGAUUCAUGGAUGACAAGUGCUCGGUCUUUCUCUGGGCUCUGCCGGGCCCCAGAGUCUUGGCUGGGGGGGUCCAAGGGCUCGGAGCGGGGGGAUGUCAGCGUGCAGCCGUGGACACCCAGCCUCUGGUUGCCAGCGCCGCGUAUGAGCUUGGUCACCUUGGGCUCUUGCUGCCUUGGUUUCCCCACCCGCUGGGCUGAAAUUGGACUCCUUGAGGAGCCUGCCAGGGUUUUACCAUGACAGGGCUUGGCAGGGUGCUUGGGCACCAGGCAAGGUUGUUUGUCACGGGUUCUCGCCGGGGUGGAGGGGCAGGCGGGCCCGUGCCAGCACGGAGCCCACGCGCUUCCUCUCGCCAGCUCUGCUGGGCUCAGGCUCAAGUGUGGCUUCUUUACAGGGACCCACCCCGGGGGCCCAGAUCCCAUGAGCAGGCGCUCUCAGCCGUGAUUUAGUGGCGGUUGCUAAGGAAGGCCUGGUACCCAGCCUGGAGGGUUGAGCUGUGGCCAACCUGGAUUCGGUAGGCGAGGCGAGGCUCCCGCCAGCCGCAGGAAAAAUCCUCUUUUCUGAGCUCAGGGUCCUCUGGCCUAAGAUGAAGACAAGGCCGGGUUCACGGCUCCUGCUGAUUUUGACAUGAGAUGAUGCAGGGCAGGAGUGGAAAUGAAGAGUAAAGCAACGACAAGAUGUAAAACGGGCUUUAGGCAUCAGUCUGUUGCCUAAUGCUCCUGGCAGCGGGACCCGUCUACUCCAGGGACCACUGCUGGGACCCCAGAGUUCAGCCUCUGGGCUUCCAGGCACAUGAGCUUCCUUUUUGACUGUUUUACUCUGUAAUUCCCAAACCUGACAACCCAGAUAGAAGCUCUAGCCCCCUCCUGGUGAGAGUAAGGCUAGCAAGCCGGGUGCUGGCUUUGUCCAGUGCGGCUGCAGUUGGGGGUGUGGGCCAGCUAUUUUCCAGAUAAAGGAAACAGAGGUGCAGAAAUGUAAAGAGAAUGAGAUUGUUAGUCGCUCAGUCAUGUCCGACUCUUUGCGACCCCAGGGCAUGUAGCCUGCCAGACUCCUCUGUCCAUGGAGGAAGAGGAGUAUUUUCUCCAAGGAGUAUAUAUCUCCAAGCAAGAAUACUGGAGUGGGUUGCCAUUCCCUUCUCCAGAGCAUCUUCCUGACCCAGGGAUUGAACCCGGGUCUCCUGCAUUGCAGGCGGAUUCUUCACCGUCUGAGCCACCAGGGAAGCCCAGAGUUGUAAAGAAGCAUCUAGUAAGUAAUAGGGCCAGGAUUCCAGCCACAGAAGUUUGUCUCCAGAGCCCAGACCUUAACCACGUCCCUUAUCGUCUCCCCGUAACUGUCAUGUCCCAGGAUGGCAAAGCAACACCAGGCGCUUUCACCUUCCCCGCUGUUGCCAUGGGCAGAACAGAAAACUGUUCCCAUAGUCCGUUUCCAGCUCGGCUUCAGCCUCUGCCCUCCGGGGAGCCCACAGAUUGGUGUCUCGUGAGAUGAGCGUCAUGGCCAGUUUUAUUACUUCGUUCGCUGCUGAAUGACCUGAGGCAGAGUGACCUUCAGCCGCUUGGACUGUCUCCUCCCCUUCUGUAUCGUAGGCUUAUGGGACUCCUGGCUUCCUUUGUUGUUCUGACAUGCAACAGAUCUUAGAAAUGCCUUCUUCUAGCACAAAGUUACAGAUGCUACCGAUGUGCCUGCUCUCAGACGCGCAGACACAGGUACACACAUGUGCAGAGACACAUAAAGGAGCAAAGUCUUAAACAGACCCUGCGGGAUCAGUCAGGCUUCUGGGAGUCUUGUGUGUUUGUUGCAUUUUCUGCGCUAGGAAUGAUCAGGGAGCAGCUGUGAGCAAACACUGACUAGCUGGGCUCUCACACACUUGUAGUUAUCACGAGCUUUUUCAGCCAGUGCUGCACACACACAGACACACACACAUGUUCUUGUUCCUGAGUCUUGUCUUCCUGUCUAGACCCAGACCAUAACGCAUUUGGGAGCAGGAUGCAUCCCCAGUACUGCUUGCCAUGGUGCAGCCUCCAUUGGGUGAUCAGUUUGUCUUUGUGCUUUGAUGGGUAAAGGAAGGACAGUGGGUGAUUUAUGCUAACAGAAUUUUUUAGUUCGAUGCAUCCACCACCCUUCUGAUACCUUCAGUAGCCAGUACCGGGACCAAAUCCCUCAUCCCUCUAUCUAAGCAGGCUUCUCACUCAGCUCCCCCACGCCGACCUCCCAGUGCCUGCAAAGGGUGCAUCCUGCAUCCCUUUGACCUCUACCCAUCCCCUCCCUUCCUUUUCCAUUUCACACACAGGGCUUUGAGUCAGUCACACACAUACUGCCUUCUUCUCCCCCUCAACCCCUUUGAUUUUCCUGUCCGGGGAAGAGCUAGGUGGAGGCCUCUGCAUGGCUGUCAGAAACAAAAAGGCUUGGAGCUGAAGGGGCUGAGCCCCAGGCCUGUGGGAGACACCCGGUGAGAGCCUGUGUUCAGUCGCUCAGUUGUGUCUGACUCUUUGCGACCCCAUGGACCUUAGCCCACCAGGCUCCUCGGUCCACGGGGAUAUUCCAGGCCACCCCAUGAAUGCAGUGAAAGGAAUACUGGGGUGGGCUGCCAUUUCCUACUCCAGGGGAUCUUCCCGACCCAGGGAUUGAACCUGCACCCACUCCUCCUCAUUUAGACAUUCCCUCCCUUGAAGCCCGCCUGGGGAACCGGAAGUACCAGAACUGUAACCGGACCCCUGGGAGCCGCAGGGUUAGCCUGUGGCAGUCUUCAGGAGGGUGGGGCCUGAGGAAAUUAAAAUGCUCCGAGUCCUGCUGCAAUACCCAGGGCCUCCAGUGCGUGGCGCCUCGGGGUUUAGAGGCUGGAAUGAGUGAGUGAAGUCGCUCAGUCGUGUCCGACUCUUUGCGACCCCAUGGACCGUAGCCCAACAGGCUCCUCUGUCCACAGGAUUUUCCAGGCAAGAGUACUGGAGUGGAUUGCCAUUUUAGGGGAAGGAGAAGGGGCAUGAGCUGCCCACCUCAAACAUCCCAUGUAUAUGGUCGUCUGAAGCACUGGAAGGGCUCUGACCGGGCUAAGAGGUUCUUACUCCUCUGGACCUACCUGCACAAUGGUUCUCUGCCUGGCAUGAGUUUGUCCCCCAGAGACAUGUGGCAACGUUGGGGACAUUUUUCGUUGACACAGAUAGAGGGAGUGCUACUGGCAUCUCGUGGGCAGAGGAUGCUGGUAAACGCCGUGCGAUGCACAGGGCAGCUCAUGAUUUGCGAUGCGGUGGAGAAGCCCUGCUGUGGCUUAUUGGUUCUGGCCACUGUCUCUGUGAUUUCUCUAAUAGCAUCUCUCCCCAUUUCCAACUCGGGAUUUCCAGUCCACCGUGGGCUGGGAACCUGAUUAGUCAAGCUCGCUAGUGGGACAGGCUGGGGCCCGGGACCCUUUGCUGCCAUGCUGCAG
ensembl:lncRNA